CCUCCAAUUAAAGUUCCAAGAGGAAAUGCCGCAGCCCUGGGAUAUGUGUUUACUGAGAAAUAACUGAAAUUAUGCAUGAAAAAUAUAUAAAAUAACACUUAAGUCUUGCCUUGAAAAAGACGCGCUGAAAGCGGCAGCGAUUGACGCACGGCUUCCCCCCGGGCCCUCUUUAGCGGGCUGCUGGUGGCUGGGGGUAGCGAUCCGGCUCUUCCCGAGCCGUGACAGUCGCGUUAAGAUCUCCGAAAAGAAUUGUAUAAUAGGUAGAGUGCAAAAAAAUGAGAUAAUGGUAACUCUCAGAGGAAUACAUGCCUUAAAUUAAAAAGCCGCAGUGCUGCUGAUGUGAGCAUUACAUUAAUGCUUGUGUGACACAAUCCUCAAAGCUCGCUCUUCUCCCUUAGCUGCUCGCUUUGCUCUGCAAAGUGAGCAGUAGGCAGGGCCCCGACGUGGCCAGAGCGAGGCACGAUCCCCUGUUUGCUCAGUAAACACAGGGCUGCGGAGUGCCUUUGACAGGUUUGAUUAGCUGGAGGCUUGCAGCUGAAUAGAGCUCUUCUGUCUGUUUUAAAAGCACAAACAAAAGUGCACACGAGCUAAUAAGGUACACAUCCCAUUUGUUACAAGUGUGGUGAUGCACGCUGGCAUCACGUUUUGGAGUUCAGAGGCAGGAGCAGCGUGUGGGUUAGUAGUGUUGCUUGAAAUCAGGACAGCAGCGCUGGCAUGGGUGAUGAUGGAUACAUGCUUUGCUUCUGUUCUCAAGGAGUUCGUGUUCUUCAGCUCUGCCCAUUAUAACCUAGGCGGGAGGUCAGAACUGUGCAGAGGUUUCUCUUUGUUUUGUGCAUCUCUUUAACAGCACGUUGUUGUACUUGCCAGAUGCUCCUGUGUGUGUGCUCAGUAUCUUGCUUUGCAUACUGUACGACUUUGUCCAGAUAGGGAAAGGUGUGAGAACCUAGUGCUUACCAGGUGGUCAGAUGGCUCCACAGAGGAGCAAAUGACCUAAAAAUAGUCUAAGAAAUGUUGUAUGCAGUGGGAAUAGGAAAAAAGGUUGCUUAUAUUGUUUUUUUCUUAUUUUGAAUCUUACUAUAUAAAAGGGAGCAUUAAGUAUAAACAUUUAUUAUUUUAAUCUUUUUCUCCCUCCUUAAGUCUGAGGCUAAUUCAAUAAAAGGGCAAUCUGACAGCAAAGAGGUGGAGCACUGCAUGUAGUGUUACCAAAGGCAGAGUGUAGAAACCCAGCCUGCAGACACUGGUCCAGAGCAGCUGCCUCGGUCCACCAUGUGGCCCAGGAAACGUGUUAAGCUGUUUACAUAAACAUUUUGAAAUGCUAAUGUUCCACCCAAUAAACACUUGUAAACCUUUUAUCUUCAGAAUUGCUUUCCAAAUCUGUUCAACACCUUUUUUUUUUUUCCCUUAGAUUUUGAAUAUUCUGGGUCCCCACUCUACAUUUCUGUGCGUUGAUCAAGGAGCAGUAAUAGCUUCGAUGAAUUGCUGGGUGUUCAUGUGCCGAGAGAGCUUUUCCUCUAACCACAGCACUUGGGAUCAUCGCCCUGCCCCUGUGGGACUGAUGUUAGUUUUCUGUGCUGCUGCUGAGACCACUGACUGAACCACUUUCAUUUCAGAUAUUCCUCCAUGCAGCAAGUGAGGAAAACAAGCUGUCUUAUUUCAAGGAUCGUUCUGGUCAGUUAGGGACUAUCCUAGCUCUUCAAGACUUGCUGACUUUUAUUUUCAGUCUUAUUCAGAUAUUCUUUAAAAAUGUUGAGAGAGAGCAGAAGAUGAUUGGCAGCACCCUAGGGAAAGAAGGCGUGUGUAAUUCAAUAGCAGAUUUUUGUUAUUUUGUUUUAAAUCUUAUUUUCUUUUACAACCUGUCUGUGAGCAGUUUUUCACCCGCUGGUCUCUGAGUGUUUUGCUGCUGGCCCAUAUCUCCCUCAUGUCCCCUGGCUUUCUCUGUUCUGAUAAAACAUGACUUGUAAGUUAGAAGAAAAUUAUGUAAAUGAAUAUAUUAAGUCUUUACCAGGGCAUUGCGAACUUCAUUUUUAAAGGUCAGCUUGAAGAAAACGUAAUCUUUUUGAUGUUGUACUUUUGGGGUGAUUUUAAUCGGCGGGGUGGUCGAGGGGGGCACACUGAUGAUGAUAAUGCUAUUUAGCAGAUAGCAGCGUGAACUACAGUGAAUAAAAGGAUGAUGCGUUCUUUGAAUACCAUUAAUUUCUACUCUAAAUCUCAGUGUAAACUGAUUUAGAAUGAAACUUAUCGGGUUAGGAUCUAUUAAUAAUAAAGGAGUAGAUGUUGCUGUAGGUAGCUUGACCUAAGAUUUAGUCUUAGGGUGAGCUGUGGCCAGCAAGGAGAAUGUGCUGCUUCAGUCCUGUGGCAAAAUGCGUUCCCUUUGAGGUCUGAACAAACACUUCUUUUUUUCUUUAGCCG
ensembl:lncRNA